rnacentral:rRNA from 1 species
AUGAAGGAUUUCAUAGUCCGGAUGUGGCCUGGUGAGCCCCUGCCCACCAGCUACUUCGGCCCGAUCAAGCGGAUGGUGAAUGCCUGUCCGCGCCUGGAAGUCAUCAAGCGAUCCAUUUGCAUUGAAGGUGCCCGCCGGGCCCUUGCCCGUGCGAAGGUGCAUUGGGGCAAGCUGGAUGCGGAGAAGCUGGUGAAGGAUGGGUUGCCAGAGGGCAAGCCGCAUCGUGUUCCUGAGAAGUAUUAUGAUGGCGUUAUGAAGGGUGCUCGUCUCGUGGCCGACGAAUGUACCAAGGACAUAAUUUUUGAAUGA